rnacentral:rRNA from 1 species
CAAUUGAGAGAGUUGAAGUUCUUUCAUGAUCUUGUGAGAGGUGGUGCAUGGCCGUUCUUAGUUCGUGUAGUGAUAUGUCUGCCUAAUCGCGUCACGAUAACCUAUUGGUCGACAACCCAAUUAUCACAACUGCAGCAUAACUCCCCUUGGGUGGGCGAGGCUCUGUGUAGGAUAGACCUCUGAACAGUACGCAACGAACGCGAUCGUAAUCCCUUGUUGAGUGGCCAUCCUGUAAGCUGCUGGAUUAGGAACCCAGUGGUAUUAUCUCAGCCACAGAUUUUCUGGUUGUAGUGGGCCAUUUUUGAAACUCCGGGGAACAUCUGUGACUUUCUUUCUUAACGCAAAAGGAAGUAUG